AAAUCACCUCAUUUUUUCAAUAAAGGGCGACUUUAUUAUCUCAAAAUGUAGCAUCAAGCGGAUAGAAAGCAUUAUAAGUAACACCCGGCCUCUGCAUGACUAAGAUACACAUAGCCAAAUCCAGAAGUCUGACAAAAAUACAUGAAAUAAAAAUCGACAAAUCGGCAACAGUAGAGUCCUUUAGACCAACACUAUGCCUAUGUCGAACGGGAUGGUGUAUCGAUCUGUAGGUUAUGCUGCCACCCAUGUUGGGAAAAAACCUCCAUAGCCACCUGCUCCAAUAGCGUACACACCACCAUGAACAGCGGUUGGUACUUCGGCCGUUGUAGUAUAGCCCACGUACGUAGCGAGUGCGUACACCAGAAAAUAACCUAUAGAGAAGAAGCAUUUUUUUCAUUAAAAACCAAAUCAUUUCUAGAUAGACAGAGCGACCAAAUUAAGGCAUACACUCCCACCCUAAUUAGCGUUUUGAACCUAUUUGUAAUGGGUCUGUCUAGGACACAUUUAGAUGUGACAUAAUUAUGUCACAUCUAACCUAAUAUCCAUAAUUCUGUGGUCUAUUUUUUUUGUUCCAGUUUUUUUUCCUUGUUGUUGUGUUAUUUGUGGAAUCUUAUAUGUGACAUCCUUAGAAAACAUCUAGAUGUAAAUUAGUCAAACUGAUUUGUAAUACCGUCCAACCAAUGACCAAAAAUAUUAGCUGAGUGAUAAGUUGUAACUCUUCAGGAGUCAAUCAAUCAGAUAAUGAAUUGUGUACUGUACAAAAUCGUCUCGGAUUAGCGGAUGAGAUAAAAUCAUGUCACACCGACAGCAUAACACAACGCGAUUCGGCUUACCAUCUUGAGCUCUUUGUCUGGUGCUGGGGCGGCGAACGAACCGACGGCCGCCCGCUUGGAGCCCGGUGGCGCCGGGGCGGACGGGCCCGGCGGGAGGCUAAACCUCGGCCUCCAGGAGGAGGAGAGGUCGAGGAGGAGGCUUGGGAGGAACCCGAUGGCGAGGCCCGGGAGGAAGUUGGCCGGACGCAGCCCCCCCGCGAGCCACGGCUCCUCGUCCUGCGAAGGGGGCG
rnacentral:lncRNA from 1 species